UAUGGUGCCCAAAAAAGAAAAUAAAAUUUAAUUACGGCACAGGUUAUAAUGCUUACUUAUAAUUAAAUAUACAAGUGUCAGCUCUUAUUCUCAUUCUAAUUUACUUUAUUCUUUCAGCUACCUCUCUUCUACCAAUAGAUGGCAUAGAAAUAAACGACGUUUGUAUGUGAGUGGGGUGUUAAUAUCGAAUAACGUGUGAUAAGAAAAUAAAAAGAAAUGAUGAUAGGGCAAGGCGUAGAAGCAAGAGUCAAAGAGAACAAGGCUGACGGCUGUGCGGGCGAUAAAACUAUAAGAGCAUAAAAGUGAACAUCGCUUUGACGUCUCCUCUCACUCUCUCUCUCUCUCCCGCCCCCUCUCCCUUGCUUUGGGCGAAUGAACUCUGCACGUUGCGUGGUUGACAACAAAACUAAACCAAAUUGAAAGCAAAACCGAAAGCAAAUAUAAAUAUAAAUACAAAUCAGCUGGUCGCCAGUCGCUGGACUGGGCCACUCGCAACUGUGCAAAUACGUAAUAUCCAACUCAAAAGGUGUCAGCGGUGCCAAUUUGAAAACCUCUUUUUCUACCAAUUGGCACCACAAAGCACCACACAAAGUGUAUCAGAGCUUAAAAGCAAAUUGGCAUUUAUUUUGCAUGCGCAGUAUUUUGCUUAACUCUUAUUUAAAAUUUGUUUGUUUUUUUUUUUUGUGUGUGUGAAAUUUAAGUGUUGGAAUAUGCGGCUUCAUAUUUUUAGCUGACUAGGCAUCCAGCGCUUGUUUAUGUUAAAUAACAAUAAGCCCAAAAAAAGUGCAUUAA